CGGGGUAUAGCGCAGCCUGGUAGCGCGGCAGUUUUGGGUACUGCAGGUCGUUGGUUCAAAUCCAGCUGCCCCGACCA
rnacentral:tRNA from 1 species